GCGCCAGUGGCUCAAAGGAAUAGAGCGCUGGCCCCAUAUGCCAGAGGUGGGGGGUUCAAACCCAGCCCUGGCCA
rfam:Otolemur garnettii contig099482, whole genome shotgun sequence.